UGGCUCAGGACGAACGCUGGCGGCGUGCUUAACACAUGCAAGUCGAACGAUGAAGCCUAGCUUGCUAGGUGGAUUAGUGGCGAACGGGUGAGUAAUACGUGAGUAACCUACCUUUAACUCUGGGAUAAGCCUGGGAAACUGGGUCUAAUACCGGAUACGACCAAUCUCCGCAUGGGGUGUUGGUGGAAAGCGUUAUGUAGUGGUUAUAGAUGGGCUCACGGCCUAUCAGCUUGUUGGUGAGGUAACGGCUCACCAAGGCGACGACGGGUAGCCGGCCUGAGAGGGUGACCGGCCACACUGGGACUGAGACACGGCCCAGACUCCUACGGGAGGCAGCAGUGGGGAAUAUUGCACAAUGGGCGCAAGCCUGAUGCAGCGACGCCGCGUGAGGGAUGACGGCCUUCGGGUUGUAAACCUCUGUUAGCAGGGAAGAAGAGAGAUUGACGGUACCUGCAGAGAAAGCGCCGGCUAACUACGUGCCAGCAGCCGCGGUAAUACGUAGGGCGCGAGCGUUGUCCGGAUUUACUGGGCGUAAAGGGUGCGUAGGUGGUCCUUCAAGUCGGUGGUUAAAGGCUACGGCUCAACCGUAGUAAGCCGCCGAAACUGGAGGACUUGAGUGCAGGAGAGGAAAGUGGAAUUCCCAGUGUAGCGGUGAAAUGCGUAGAUAUUGGGAGGAACACCAGUAGCGAAAGCGGCUUUCUGGACUGCAACUGACACUGAGGCACGAAAGCGUGGGUAGCAAACAGGAUUAGAUACCCU
rnacentral:rRNA from 1 species